rnacentral:rRNA from 1 species
AUUGAACGCUGGCGGCAGGCCUAACACAUGCAAGUCGAACGGUAACAGGAAGCAGCUUGCUGCUUUGCUGACGAGUGGCGGACGGGUGAGUAAUGUCUGGGAAACUGCCUGAUGGAGGGGGAUAACUACUGGAAACGGUAGCUAAUACCGCAUAACGUCGCAAGACCAAAGAGGGGGACCUUAGGGCCUCUUGCCAUCGGAUGUGCCCAGAUGGGAUUAGCUAGUAGGUGGGGUAACGGCUCACCUAGGCGACGAUCCCUAGCUGGUCUGAGAGGAUGACCAGCCACACUGGAACUGAGACACGGUCCAGACUCCUACGGGAGGCAGCAGUGGGGAAUAUUGCACAAUGGGCGCAAGCCUGAUGCAGCCAUGCCGCGUGUAUGAAGAAGGCCUUCGGGUUGUAAAGUACUUUCAGCGGGGAGGAAGGGAGUAAAGUUAAUACCUUUGCUCAUUGACGUUACCCGCAGAAGAAGCACCGGCUAACUCCGUGCCAGCAGCCGCGGUAAUACGGAGGGUGCAAGCGUUAAUCGGAAUUACUGGGCGUAAAGCGCACGCAGGCGGUUUGUUAAGUCAGAUGUGAAAUCCCCGGGCUCAACCUGGGAACUGCAUCUGAUACUGGCAAGCUUGAGUCUCGUAGAGGGGGGUAGAAUUCCAGGUGUAGCGGUGAAAUGCGUAGAGAUCUGGAGGAAUACCGGUGGCGAAGGCGGCCCCCUGGACGAAGACUGACGCUCAGGUGCGAAAGCGUGGGGAGCCCCCAGGAUUAGAUACCCUGGUGUCCACGCCGUAAACGAUGUCGACUUGGAGGUUGUGCCCUUGAGGCGUGGCUUCCGGAGCUAACGCGUUAAGUCGACCGCCUGGGGAGUACGGCCGCAAGGUUAAAACUCAAAUGAGUUGACGGGGGCCCGCACAAGCGGUGGAGCAUGUGGUUUAAUUCGAUGCAACGCGAAGAACCUUACCUGGUCUUGACAUCCACGGAAGUUUUCAGAGAUGAGAAUGUGCCUUCGGGAACCGUGAGACAGGUGCUGCAUGGCUGUCGUCAGCUCGUGUUGUGAAAUGUUGGGUUAAGUCCCGCAACGAGCGCAACCCUUAUCCUUUGUUGCCAGCGGUCCGGCCGGGAACUCAAAGGAGACUGCCAGUGAUAAACUGGAGGAAGGUGGGGAUGACGUCAAGUCAUCAUGGCCCUUACGACCAGGGCUACACACGUGCUACAAUGGCGCAUACAAAGAGAAGCGACCUCGCGAGAGCAAGCGGACCUCAUAAAGUGCGUCGUAGUCCGGAUUGGAGUCUGCAACUCGACUCCAUGAAGUCGGAAUCGCUAGUAAUCGUGGAUCAGAAUGCCACGGUGAAUACGUUCCCGGGCCUUGUACACACCGCCCGUCACACCAUGGGAGUGGGUUGCAAAAGAAGUAGGUAGCUUAACCUUCGGGAGGGCGCUUACCACUUUGUGAUUCAUGACUGGGGUGAAGUCGUAACAAGGUA